UGGCUUACUAGAAGUGAAGGGAUCAAUGUACACACACAAGGAGCAGAUAAAAGAGGAAGUGUAUGGUACAAUAUUAGCAGAGAACACAAUAGGGGUGAACCAUGAUCAUUUCUUGAUCUUCCAUCUUGAUCUAGACGUUGAUGGUGAGGCCAACACCUUGAUCAAGACCAACCUCAAGACCUCCCGCGGGGCGAGGAGGAGCUACUGGAGGGCCGAGAGCGAAGCAGCCAAAACUGAAUCCGAUGCAAGAAUCAGGCUUGGCUCGGGAGCAACAAUGCUGUCCGUGGUGAACCUUAACAAGACGACUAAGAUAGGCAACAAUGUGGGCUACAAACUGAUGCCAGGAUCAGUAACCGGAACCCUUUUACCUGACGAUGACUAUGUCCAAAUUCGAGGAUCUUUUAUUAAGUACAACGCGUGGGUUACGCCCUACAACAAGUCUGAGAAAUGGGCUGCAGGGUUGUACACUGAUCGAAGCCAUGGUGAUGACGGUUUGGCUGCUUGGAGCCAAAGGUAUAUAUCCGUCCCAUUAAAAAUGACAUGUAUUUCAUUUUGGAUCGUCCCACUAUAAGUGGCCUGUUUUCAUAAAUGGAAAAAUUUAACCCUUAAAAAAGUGCGAGGCCUACCACUUUUAACAAUUUUACACAUUUUUCUUAAUUUCCGUGCUGAAAAGUUUUGAGCCACUUAUUGUGGGACGGAGGGAGUAUAUGGUUUAGGAGUUUGAUCAAUUUUUUUUUUCCUCUUUUGAUUUGGUUGAUGCAGGGAUAGGGAGAUUGAGAACAAGGACAUUGUGCUGUGGUACACAUUAGGCUUCCACCACGUGCCGUGCCAGGAAGAUUUUCCGAUCAUGCCGACGCUGACGGAGUCUUUCGAGCUCCGGCCAUCCAACUUUUUCGAGCACAAUCCUACGCUCUACACAAAGCAAGAGAGGGAAAUCAGAAAUCGUGCUAGCUUAAACUUUUCGGUUCAAUAGUAUCUUUGUCCAAAUAUGCCUCUUUCUUGAUCAAAUAAAGAUGCUAAAUUCUUGCUUUUAUGUAGCUUCUUUUCAAAUUUAGAAAUUAAUUAUAAAUUCACGAGUCUUCCACUCAAGAUAAGUUAAAAUUAGAUGUUGAUUUGUAUGUUAGAACAAUAAAACUCAAUUUUCCUGCUCUUCGAUACUUGAGAGAGCCCGAAGUAAAACUCAUUUCUUGAGCCCAAAGAAUAAUUGGAAAUCAAACAUAAACCAUUUUUCUUAUUUUCAUGUAAUUUCUUCUUGUUUUAAUACUCAUUCCAUAACUGCCUUUGUUAGCUUGCAAAACUAACACACAGCAUUCUCUAUAAUAAUAUAGGAUAUAAUUUUAAUAAAGAGGAGAAAACAAAAUGCUCCUCCAUCCACAGAAUAAUUGCAUCACAUCACAAUUAUAAUUAGGUGCAAAAUAUUUGUAAAUAAUAUAUAUAAAAAAUAAUUGAUUUAUGCUUUUGUAACAUCUUUAUUUAUUGAUCGAUAAAUAAAUAUUACUAAUAUUAAUAGUGCAGUAGAGUAUGUUGGACUAAUUGUAUGAAUAAAGAACGAAAAAAUAAAUUGAACACGAUGAAAUGAUUUUAGAGGUGGUCUUCGGUACACCUGGGUUACACCUUCACUUUUCGAAAUUUCUCUUCCUUAUUCAAUUUCUAAUCAAAAUACUUGUCAUUCCAGAACUUGAUAUCAAACUAAAUUGAAGGCAAAUGCAGCAUAGACAAUUAAAUACCAAAAAAAAAUAGAGCAAAUUAUAAAACAGAAUCAACGCAAAAGCGAAAAUGUUUAAAACACAAAGCGUCAAAAAGAGUGUUAUUGAAGAACUAACCGAUUAGAAUUUUCAACAGCGAGCAAGACAGAAGCAAUCGAGAAACAGAGAUUAAAGAAGUUUAGUUUGUGGAAUUUGCUCGGAAAUGAGAAACAGAUAUUAAAGAAAGAAGCUUAGAAAAUUUGUUUUAUAUACUCUCUUCGUUUCAUUACAAAUGUUCCAUUACUUUUGAGCAGAAAGAUUAAGAAAUAGUAAAUUUUAUUACAAAUGUCUCGUUAGUUUUGGCUACAGAGAUUAAGAAAUAAGUAUAUGUAAUAUGCAGACAUAAACAAAUCUUACGUGUGUAUAUAUAUCUUCGACUGUAAUGUGCACACAUAAACUCCCCACAUGAGUCACGUUUCUACCAAAUUAAGCAAAAAAACAAAAAAAUUAAAACGACGUUUAAUUUUUCACCAAUUAUUUAUCAUUAAAGAUUCAUUGUGUCACAAUUAGUAUCUCGUAAUGAUUUUCUCAAAAUAAAGAAAUGAAAUAAAAAAAGUUAUACUACUAUUGUUUGUUUGACUCAAGCAAAAAACAUAAAAAAAUGAGCUAACAAAUUGUAGUAGAGAAUAGAGAUGUAUUUGCAGCGUGCGUGAGUUGGCCUAUCAGUAGGUGAUUAAUGCCCAAUGCUUGAGGUCUUCGAUUCGUGUCCACCGGCAUGUGAUCUUUAAAUUUCUUUAUUUACUUGUGUAGUUUAUUAAAAAAAAUGUAUAAAUUAAUUAGUUAAAAUUGAUAAAACCUACACUUUUUUAAUUUUAUCAUUUAUAAAAACAGAUCAUUUAUAAUGAGCCAACUCAAAAUAAAAUAUAUGUCACUUUCAGUGGUGGUAUCAGAUGGAUUACUUUUUAUAAGCCAUCACUCACUACUAGAAAAUGAACCAUAACAAAAUAAAAAUAUUUGUACUACCAAAAAAAUGCUUCCAUCACUAAACAAUCCUAUCUUCUUCUUCUUCUUCAUCAUCUUCUUCAAAGCUCCAACCGCCAUCUCACUCCAAGAUUCUCCUCACCCCUUAGACUCCCUCACUCCGUCGGAGCUCACUCGAGUCGGCACCAUCGUCAACGCCCAUUUCUCGAGCACGAGCCACAACGUGAGCUUCCACUACGUCGGCCUAGACGAGCCGCACAAGCCGGAGAUCCUCCGUUGGCACUCGGAUCCCGGCCAGCUCCCGCGUCGCAGAGCAUUAGUCAUCGCUCGCAUUGACCGGAGCAGCAGCCACGAAAUCGUCGUUGACUUUAUGCAAAACGCGGUCGUUUCCGACCGAUCGCACCAAGGCGGCGGCUACCCUCUCUUGAACACGGAGGAGCAAGACGCCGCGAGCAAGCUGGCGACGUCGUAUGCUCCCUUCGUCGCCUCAAUUUCGAGGAGAGGGCUGAAGAUGGAGGAGGUGGUGUGCAUGAGCUUCACCGUGGGGUGGUUCGGAGAGGAGCGGCGGAGCCGGAGAAUGGUUAGGGUUAUGUGUUACUAUAUGGAUGGGACGGUUAAUCUCUACAUGAGGCCUAUCGAGGGCGUCACCGUGGCCGUUGAUCUCGAUCGGAUGGCGAUCAUCGGGUUCCACGACCGGGUCGUGGUCCCGGUGCCGAAAGCUCAAGGCACGGAUUACACCGGUCGUGAUCGGCCGUACAUGGAGAGUGAAGGUGGUGUUGAUGAGGAUGCAAGUUUCACUUUGGAUGGAAAUGUUUUGAGGUAAUAAUAAUAUAUGUUACUUCAUUUGUUGCAUUACUAUUUUUCCUACACUCUUUUGGAUGUAUAUAUGCAUGUCAUGAAAUGUACUCCUUCUUAUCCAUCCCACUCUAAUAGAUUCGUUUUUCUUUUUGAAAACGUCUCAUUAGAAUUAUAAGCUCGUUUUCUAUUUUGAGUAAAUAAACAAUAUACUUAAUUGGUGUAAACUACACCACUUUUCUUCUAAAAAGUAAGUUUCUUAAUUAAUUUUCGUAUCUAAAAGAAAUGAACCUAUUAGAAUGAGACGGAGGGAGUACAGUAUAAGUUAAGUGACCCAUAAAUUUUAUAAACAAUAAUUAAGGACCCCAGGUUCAAUCAAAUCGAGCUAUUAAUCUUUAUCUGAAAUAGUAUAAGAUUCGGUCAAUUAUUUUUAUUCUAAUCAUAUGAGGUUGGCUAAAUAAUUAAUAAAGUAGCGAAAAUAAAUUAAUAUGUUAAAGAAUUAGCCGGCAGCAUUCAGCUCAUUUUUUUUAAUGAUUAAUUUCUUUAGAGAUAAUGACCUACUCUAGCCCAUUUCAUGCAGCCAAAGGAUUUUUUUUCAAUGAAGAUACAAGAUUAGGAAUAAUAUUAUCAUUUUUUAGCAUAAAUGUACUAAUACAUUAUUAAUGAUUUUUUAAAAGAAAUAAUUCAAAAUUUCGCAAUCAUUACACAAUUUUACGAAAUUAGCGUGUAAUAGCAUAAAAUACACGAUUAUACAGUUUUCACAUAAUCGUAUAAUAGUCGAGAAAAACCGUAUAGAGCGAUAUUUUACACUGUUACAGAAUAUAUUUUUCAAAAGUGAGUAAAAAAGAGUACAAAGUGUAUAAUGGUAAAAAAAAAUAUGUAAUCGUAUAUUUUACACUAUUACACGACACAACGAUAUUUCGGUCACAAUGUCUACUAUUUCCAUAAUUUUAUUUAUUACACAAUUGUUAUAGAUGGGGAGGUUGGGAGAUGCAUCUAUCAUUCGACAUGAGAGCUGGUGUAGUGAUAUCAAUGGCGUCCAUUUUCGACGCUGAGAAGGAAGAGCAGAGGAGAGUGAUGUACAGAGGAUUUUUGUCGGAACUCUUUGUGCCAUACAUGGACUUAACCGAGGAGUGGUACUUCCAAACUUACUUUGAUGCAGGUGAAUAUGGACUGGGACUCUCUGCAGUGCCGCUUGUACCUUCGAAAGACUGCCCCCAAAACGCGGUGUUCAUGGAUGGCUACUUCACCUCAGGCGACGGCACGCCUGGGCGAACCCCUAACGCCUUCUGCAUAUUCGAGAAAUAUGCAGGAGACGUCAUGUGGCGCCACACCGAGCUUGCUAUACUCGGCAAAACGGCAAGCCAUCACAAACAACAAUAUGCAUAUAUACUUACUAGGUAUAUUUUUAUCUUGUGUUUGUUUAUGGAGUUUGAUGGUUGUGCAGAUAACGGAGGUGAGGCCGGAGUCGAGCCUCGUCGUGAGGACGGUAUCGACCGUGGGGAACUACGACUACAUUGUGGAUUGGGAGUUCAAGCAAACCGGUAUCAUUAGAGUCAGUGUGAGUGUUGAGAUGAUGAAGCAAGUUUCUUUAAGUUAAGCAGUAUGUGUCCAAGAUUGACAGCUAAUCGUUAAAACAUGACCGUAACUUUCAGUGUUUUCAGAAAGAGAACCAUAGGUUACAGAAUUUGAAAAUGAGAACUAUAACUUCCAUUUUUUUAUAUUUUCACUCCUAUUUCGGAAAAUGAGGAAUUUGGCAAAAAGGUGACAUGGCACGACCACAUCAGCACCAAAAAGCCCAAUUUUGGUUUUGGGCCUGAAAUAGGAGUGUGUAAAUGUAAAAACUGGAAGUUAUAGUUCCCAUUUUCAAAUUCUGUAACAUAUGGUUCUCUUUCUGAAAACAGUGAGAGUUACGAUCCUGUUUUAACAAUUAGCUCCCGAGAUUGAUGUUAAUUUGUGUGAGUAGGUGGGGAUGACUGGCUUGCUAGACGUGAAGGGAUCAAUGUACACAUACAAGGAGCAGAUAAAAGAGGAAGUGUAUGGUCCAAUAUUAGCAGAGAACACAAUAGGGGUGAACCAUGAUCAUUUUUUGAUCUUCCAUCUUGAUCUAGAUGUUGAUGGUGAGGCCAACUCCUUGAUCAAGACCAACCUCAAGACCUCCCGCGGGGCGAGGAGGAGCUACUGGAGGGCCGAGAGCGAAGCAGCCAAAACUGAAUCCGAAGCAAGAAUCAGGCUUGGUUCGGGAGCAACAAUGCUGUCCGUGGUGAACCCCAACAAGACGACCAAGAUAGGCAACAAUGUGGGCUACAAACUGAUGCCCGGAUCAGUAGCCGGCACCCUUUUACCUGACGACGACUAUGUCCAAAUUCGAGGAUCUUUUAUUAAGUACAACGCGUGGGUUACGCCCUACAACAAGUCUGAGAAAUGGGCUGCAGGGUUGUAUACUGAUCAAAGCCAUGGUGAUGACGGUUUGGCUGCUUGGAGCCAAAG
rnacentral:lncRNA from 1 species